rnacentral:rRNA from 1 species
AUGGAAGCAUUGGUUUAUACGUUCCUUUUAGUUUCGACUUCAGGGAUAAUUUUUUUCGCUAUCUUCUUCCGAGAACCACCUAAGGUUCCACCAACUCCAACUAAUUCUUAUAUAAAGAAAACUUUCUCGUUUCACUUUGUCUCGCUUUCUCUAGAAUCUCUAGAACAAUAA